UCCGAUAUGGUCUAGUGGCUAGGAUACAUCGCUCUCAUUCACACUUGAAUAAGUCCCGAUGUGGCCCGGGUUCGAUUCCCGGUGUCGGAA